CCCUUGCUCCCUGCUGUUUACUCUCGCUCUCCUUCUUCCCUGUCGCAGUUUCUGUCUGCCUUCUCUCCUGCUCCCUUGCUUCGACAGGCUGGGCGAAUGGCAGCGUCUGGGUCCCCCGGGCCACUCGGAGUGUACCCCGCCCCAGGCCGCGCAAUGUGAACCCGUGCCGAAAGCGCCAAGACCUCCAUCUCAUCCCUAGAUGGCAGCAGGAUUCUGAAGCUGGCGCAGCCCUCGGCAGCCCUUCUGGUCUGUGUUCCUGAACAGAUUGCCAGGGGAUACGGUGGCUAAACAGCCCGGCGCCUCCCCGGAGUGCAGGUCAAGCAGAAGAGCAAGCUGGACAGAUGCAGCUGGCGGGGCCUCUGGGGUCGGAUGCUGAAGCUUCGGACACCACAUCCUCUCAGCACACAGAUGUGCAGAGUGAAGACAACAGGGAACCCAAAGCUGACCUACAGUGGUCAGAGAAGAAUCCCAGGAAUGUGCCUUCCCAGUAUACAGCCAUAGUUCCUGACCUACAAAUGAUGUUGAUUUUAUCGGACUCAAACUACUCUGUUGGACCCACAGGUAAGAGUCAUGUUUUAUAA
rnacentral:lncRNA from 1 species